UACGUAGGGGGGCUAGCGUUGUCCGGAAUCAUUGGGCGUAAAGCGCGCGUAGGCGGCCAGAUAAGUCCGGUGUGAAAGUCACAGGCUCAACCUGUGAAUGCCGCUGGAAACUGUCUGGCUAGAGUCCGGAAGGGGCGAGUGGAAUUCCUGGUGUAGCGGUGAAAUGCGCAGAUAUCAGGAGGAACACCAAUGGCGAAGGCAGCUCGCUGGGACGGUACUGACACUGAGGCACGAAAGCGUGGGGGAGCAAACGGGG
rnacentral:rRNA from 1 species